AUUGAACGCUGGCGGCAUGCCUUACACAUGCAAGUCGAACGGCAGCACGGGAGCAAUCCUGGUGGCGAGUGGCGAACGGGUGAGUAAUAUAUCGGAACGUGCCCAGUCGUGGGGAUAACGUAGCGAAAGCUACGCUAAUACCGCAUACGAUCUAUGGAUGAAAGCGGGGGAUCGCAAGACCUCGCGCGAUUGGAGCGGCCGAUAUCAGAUUAGGUAGUUGGUGAGGUAAAGGCUCACCAAGCCGACGAUCUGUAGCUGGUCUGAGAGGACGACCAGCCACACUGGGACUGAGACACGGCCCAGACUCCUACGGGAGGCAGCAGUGGGGAAUUUUUGGGCAAUGGGCGCGAGCCUGAUCCAGCAAUGCCGCGUGCAGGAUGAAGGCCUCGGUUGUAACUGCUUUGU
rnacentral:rRNA from 1 species